UUCAGGAUACACUUUAGAGGAGUAUAAGCU
rnacentral:piRNA from 1 species